UUUGUAGAGAGUGCUUCGGGCGAGACCUCGGUCUAAGUCCAUUGGAACAUGGUGUCAUAGAGGGUGAGAAUCCCGUAUGCGACCGUGGCUCGAGCCCAUGUGAAGCCUCUUCGACGAGUCGAGUUGUUUGGGAAUGCAGCUCAAAAUGGGUGGUAAAUUUCAUCUAAAGCUAAAUACUGGCUGGAGACCGAUAGCGCACAAGUAGAGUGAUCGAAAGAUGAAAAGCACUUUGGAAAGAGAGUCAAACAGUACGUGAAAUUGUUGAAAGGGAAGCGCUUGCAACCAGACCUGCCCGUAGGCGAUCAGCCGCUGUUCUCAGCGGUGUACUCGCUCUGCGAUCAGGCCAGCAUCGGUUUCGGCGGUCGGAUAAAGGCCUUGGGAAUGUAGCUUCCCUUCGGGGGAGUCUUAUAGCCCUCGGUGCAAUGCGGCCAGCCGGGACCGAGGACCGCGCUCCGGCUAGGAUGCUGGCGUAAUGGUUGUAAGCGACCCGUCUUGAAACACGGACCAAGGAGUCUAACAUCUAUGCGAGUGUUUGGGUGUCAAACCCAUACGCGGAAUGAAAGUGAACGGAGGUGAGAACCCUCAAGGGCGCAUCAUCGACCGAUCCAGAUGUCUUCGGAUGGAUUUGAGUAUGAGCAUAGCUGUUGGGACCCGAAAGAUGGUGAACUAUGCCUGAAUAGGGUGAAGCCAGAGGAAACUCUGGUGGAGGCUCGCAGCGGUUCUGACGUGCAAAUCGAUCGUCAAAUUUGGGUAUAGGGGCGAAAGACUAAUC
rnacentral:rRNA from 1 species